GGCACCUGGGGAUUUGUUAAAAUGCAGAUUCUGAUUCAGCAGGUCUGAGGUGGGGCCUGAGGGUUUGCAUUUUUAACAAGUUUCCAAGUGAUGCCAG
rnacentral:pre_miRNA from 1 species